rnacentral:lncRNA from 1 species
CCCGCUCUUCCUUCACCUGCUGCACCUUCGCCCUCGCCCCCUUCACCGUCACCUCCCUCGCCGCAGCCCCCUACGCCUCCUUCACCUGGUUCGGAGGAAGCAGCACCGUCUCCCUCACCUCCCUCUCCCGCUCCGCCCUCACCGUCUCCUCCCUCGCCGCAGCCCCCUACGCCGCCUUCACCUGGUUCGGAGGAAGCAGCACCGUCUCCCUCACCUCCCUCUCCCGCUCCGCCCUCACCGUCUCCUCCCUCGCCGCAGCCCCCUACGCCUCCUUCACCUGGUUCGGAGGAAGCAGCACCGUCUCCCUCACCUCCCUCUCCCGCUCCGCCCUCACCGUCUCCUCCCUCGCCGCAGCCCCCUACGCCUCCUUCACCUGGUUCGGAGGAAGCAGCACCGUCUCCCUCACCUCCCUCUCCCGCUCCGCCCUCACCGUCUCCUCCCUCGCCGCAGCCCCCUACGCCUCCUUCAC